CAGCCGCCGCGGUAACACGUAGGGUGCAAGCGUUAAUCGGAAUUACUGGGCGUAAAGCGUGCGCAGGCGGUUAUAUAAGACAGAUGUGAAAUCCCCGGGCUCAACCUGGGAACUGCAUUUGUGACUGUAUAGCUAGAGUACGGCAGAGGGGGAUGGAAUUCCGCGUGUAGCAGUGAAAUGCGUAGAUAUGCGGAGGAACACCGAUGGCGAAGGCAAUCCCCUGGGCCUGUACUGACGCUCAUGCACGAAAGCGUGGGGAGCAAACAGGAUUAGAUACCCCAGUAGUCCCUGUCUCUUAUAC
rnacentral:rRNA from 1 species